GAUGAACGCUGGCGGCGUGCCUAAUACAUGCAAGUCGAACGCACAGCGAAAGGUGCUUGCACCUUUCAAGUGAGUGGCGAACGGGUGAGUAACACGUGGACAACCUGCCUCAAGGCUGGGGAUAACAUUUGGAAACAGAUGCUAAUACCGAAUAAAACUCAGAGUCGCAUGACACAAAGUUAAAAGGCGCUUUGGCGUCACCUAGAGAUGGAUCCGCGGUGCAUUAGUUAGUUGGUGGGGUAAAGACCUACCAAGACAAUGAUGCAUAGCCGAGUUGAGAGACUGAUCGGCCACAUUGGGACUGAGACACGGCCCAAACUCCUACGGGAGGCUGCAGUAGGGAAUCUUCCACAAUGGGCGAAAGCCUGAUGGAGCAACGCCGCGUGUGUGAUGAAGGCUUUCGGGUCGUAAAGCACUGUUGUAUGGGAAGAACAGCUAGAAUAGGGAAUGAUUUUAGUUUGACAGUACCAUACCAGAAAGGGACGGCUAAAUACGUGCCAGCCGCCGCAGUAA
rnacentral:rRNA from 1 species